rnacentral:rRNA from 1 species
UACAGAGGGUGCGAGCGUUAAUCGGAAUUACUGGGCGUAAAGGGUGCGUAGGUGGUUUAUUAAGUCGUAUGUGAAAACCCUGGGCUUAACCUAGGAAUUGCAUAUGAAACUGAUAGGCUAGAGUGCAGUAGAGGGAAGUGGAAUUUCCAGUGUAGCGGUGAAAUGCGUAGAUAUUGGAAGGAACACCAGUGGCGAAGGCGACUUCCUGGACUGUUACUGACACUGAGGCACGAAAGCGUGGGGAGCGAACAGG